AUUGAACGCUGGCGGCAUGCCUUACACAUGCAAGUCGAACGGCAGCACGGGAGCAAUCCUGGUGGCGAGUGGCGAACGGGUGAGUAAUAUAUCGGAACGUGCCCAGUCGUGGGGGAUAACGUAGCGAAAGCUACGCUAAUACCGCAUACGAUCUAUGGAUGAAAGCGGGGGAUCGCAAGACCUCGCACGAUUGGAGCGGCCGAUAUCAGAUUAGGUAGUUGGUGAGGUAAAGGCUCACCAAGCCGACGAUCUGUAGCUGGUCUGAGAGGACGAACAGCCACACGGGGACUGAGACACGGCCCAGACUCCGACGGGAGGCAGCAGUGGGGAAUUUUGGACAAUGGGCGCAAGCCUGAUCCAGCAAUGCCGCGUGCAGGAUGAAGGCCUUCGGGUUGUAAACUGCUUUUGUACGGAACGAAACGGUGAGCUCUAAUACAGUUUGCUAAUGACGGUACCGUAAGAAUAAGCACCGGCUAACUACGUGCCAGCCGCCGUAACAC
rnacentral:rRNA from 1 species